GCACUUGUGGUGGGUACCCAUAUCCCCCUUGAACAGGUGGAUACCCAUAGCCCCCUUGAGCAGGUUGAUAUCCAUAUCCAGGUGGUGGUGGGUAACCAUAACCCGGUUGAGGAGGCGGCGCGUAUCCGCCAUAUGGCGGUGGAGGUGGAUAUCCAUACCCAGGUGGAGGCGGUGGAUAUUCAUGUCCAGGUGGAGGCGGUGGAUAUAAGCCAGGUCCAGCAUAAGGAACAGAACUAGGUCUAACAACAGGCACAGCAGCAUAUGCAGUGACAGGUUGACUACUAGAAUUAGUAGCCUUCGCUGCUGCUGCUGUUGAUACUUCAGGCACCACUACCUUCUCAAUCCCGCUAAACUUAAAAGAAAAGCUAACCUCGCCUUUAGGUUUCCCUGAAGGUUUCCUUACCUGAUAACUAACAAAUUUCAUGGAUUUACCAUCGCCAGCUGAAUCCAAAAGCUCCUUUACUGGCACGUUGACUUCACCAACAUCUUUAUCUCCUAGAGCACGCUCACAUUUAAGAUUGAAAACAACAUUUAGACGGUUUUCUGCAAGCGGGGUUUGAGGGAUAGUGAAUUUUAUAGGGAAGUUCCAAGUCGGAUUUUUGCCACCAGAUCUAUCUACUGGGGUUUUGGUUUUUUGCUUUGGCUUUUGUUUGGAGUCAUCACCACCAGAGAUUGAAACAACAGCGUAGACAUCCAUUUUUGAGAUAUAAUUGACGUCUUUGAGACCCCUUGCAGAGAUGACAUUGAUCUCUAAGGUUCUUUCACCCAUUUCGACAGACAGGGAGAGAGAGAUGGAGUUUGGUGAGUUUCUGUUGCAAUUUGCAAAUGACUCGGAAACCUCGGCUGGUGGGUUUGUAUACAAAUUAUAGGUGCAAAAAGAGGGCCAAUGUAGUCGCCUCUCGUGGCUUGCGGGUUAUGACUAAUGAGUAACCAUGGUUAGAUAUAGAUAGAAAUUUGAUAUAAUGAAUUAUUGACCAUGGUUAAUGACUUUGUCAGAUUCUUUGAUGAGUAAAUCCUCUACGAAGAAGGAUAUUCCUUUUGAUCAUCAAAGGUUGUUUUUUUAUAGUCGUCAUGCACGUUGAUUUUAGUUUUUCUUAUAUAUUUUUUGGCCAAUCCCAUGAAUUUUUUUCUUAUAUAUAGGUUUUCAGUUGAGACAAGUCAACGUUGUUAUUAAACCGGAACUUAGGGGCAGCGACAGUAAACCACGAUUAACUUUUUUAAAAAAAUUAAAAAAUAAAACAGUGCUGUUUUUUUUUUUUUUUUUUUAAGGGAGAGAAGGCUUUUUGUUUUUCUUCUGCAGGGAAGGUCACGUUUUUUUAAGAGAGAAGGGUAAUUGUGUAUGGUCUUUUGGUGGCUGAGGUAGCCUUUAACUUCUUUCUUUUCAUGCUCUCCUAAAAUUGUUUCUUUUUUGAAAUAAAAUUGUUUUUUUUUAAAUUGCUUGGUCUUCAAACAAAUAAAAUACUAGUGGUAAUUUAUUUAUUUUCUUUUGUACUUUUGUCUUAACCAAAUAUUUUUUUGUUAUUUAUUUAUUUAUUGUAUUUUGAUAUUUAAAAAAAAACAAAACAUUAACAUCAACACAGUAAAAUUAUUAAUGAUUUUAAAAUGAGCGCUUUAAGAAUUGAACACAUCGAAAGUAAAUUUUUGAAUUUUUAAUUAUUUUAAAAAGACAUUGAAAAUGUCAAAACAACGCAAUUACAUAAAAAAAUAUUUUUUUUAUUUUUUUGCUAUUUUUGGUGUUUUUUUAUUUUAAAAAAAGUGAGAAAAUGGGUCAAAAAUCGGGUUAUGACAUUGAUCUUAUAUCAUGGGUAGCGGGUUAAUUAAGUUAACUCGAGUUGACUUUUUAUUUUCUCAAUGUUUUUUAUAUGAAAUUGAUUUUUUUUUCAAUUUUAUUAUAUGGAAUUAAAUUAUUGAUCCUAGAGCUUUGUGAUUUUUUGCUUUUCUUUAUAUAGAGUCAACCAUGAGCACGGAUUAGUCAAGUUCAUUCACAUUAACUUGGGUUUUUUCAUGGUUUUUUUUUAUUAAACUUCAGUCUUUUUUGUUAAAUUUUUUUAAAAUAUAUUUUUUUAUCCUGAUUUCAUAUCGCGGGUAGCAGUAGUGGCAGAGCCACAUAGGGGGAAAGAGGGAGCAGUUUCCCCCUUAAUCUUAUUUUUUAAAAUAAUUUUUAUAUUAAAAUAUUAAUAUAAUAGUUUUAUAGGGUAAUUUUUUUUUUGUUAACUACUAACUAAUCCAGGCUUUUCUUCUUCUUUUUUUCACUAUUAUCCCUGUCUCUUUUAUUUUUUUAAUAAAAUUUCUCUUCAAGUCAUAUACUAUUAAUUAGCUAAGCAAGUAACCUCUUAUACUUUAUGCUUUAGGGAAGUCUUUUUUUUUUUUUUUUUAUCUUUUCUAUUUGUUUAAUUAUCUAGUUUUAGUUUUAUUUCUUUACAUUUAGUUAUUGAGAAUGUUAGGGUUUAUAAUAAUUUAUGAGUUUGUUUAAUUAAUAUGUGUAUAGGUAAUAUUAUAUGCUAAUGGAUAUGAAUUGAAUUGAGUUUUGAUGAAUUGAUAAGUAUUUUGCUAUAAAUUUCAUAUUUUUUUUGUUAUUUUUGGUGUUUUUUUAUUUAAAACAAAGUGAGAAAAUAGGUCUAAAAUCAGGUUAUGACAUUGAUCUUAUAUCCUGAAUAGCGAGUUAGUUAAGUUAACUCGAGUUAAUUUUUUGUUUUCUCAAUGUUUUUUUAAUAUGAAAUUGACUUCUUCUUUUUUUCAAUUUUAUUAUAUGGGAUUAAAUUAUUGAUCGUAGAGCUUUGUGAUUUUUUGUUUUUCUCUAUGCAAAGUCAACCCUAAAUACGGGUUAGACAAGUUAAUUCACAUUAACUUUGGUUUUUUACAUUUUUUUUAUUAAAUUUCGGUUUUUUUGUUAAAUUUUUUUAGAAUAUUUUUUUAUCCCGAUUUUAUAUCGCGGAUAGCAUAUUGAUCAAAUUAACUUGUAUUGAUUUAUGGUUUUUCUUUAAAGUUACUUGUUUAUAUUAAUUUUUUUUAAUUUUAUUUUUAAAAUUUAUAAUUUUUUUCAUGAUUAACUUAAUUUUAUAUCUCAGAUCGCGUGUUAUUUAAGUUAAUAGUCGGUAACUCAACUUUUAAUUUUUUUUUUAUGUUAAAAAACAUUUGAAUGGGGACGUUGUAGCCACCUAUAUAUAGUUAUCCCUGUACUGUAUUGAUUGCACAGCUGACAUUAAAUUCUACAAUACAAAUUUGAAGAAGGAUAAGAAAAUUAUGGUUUGUUUAUUGUUUAACUUUUAGGGAUACAAAAUAUAUUAUAAAGAUGAUAGAUGAAAAGACAAGAGAAGGUGUCGUCAUUCUCAAAAUAUUUUCCCGAUAAAUGGAAAGGACAUCCAAUCUGAGGAAUACUUUAAUUUAGGAAUUCGAUAAUUUACUCAUUCCUGUGAUAUCAACAUCUAUAAAUGUAAUAUAAUAUAAUAUGUAUUUUGUUAGACCAUGUCAUGAUGGAAUGGAUAAAAAUGGAUGAAGGGGCAAAAUUAAAACUAUAAUCAAACUUUUGUGGAGAAUAAUAAAAAACAAAUCAAACUUACGAGAUUCAACCAAGAUACCUAAUUUAAAAUUUGAAUAAUAGGUUAGGCAAGUUAAUUUGAAUUAAAAAUAAUAUUAUUUUAGAUAUUUUAUAUACAUAUAAAAAUCAAAUUAGAUUUUAUUUGGGUUUGGACCUGGUCAAGAAGGCUGCACAUUGAUUUAUCAGGUCGAUCGAAUUUGUUACGAUCUAAGAAAAUAUUGAAUAAGUAAAUUCAGGUUUUAGCGUUAUUGUAUUUAUUAUCUAGUUUUACAUUACCGAGCGUAAUAUUAUUAGUGCUUUGGUUCAAAUCAUCUUCGUGUAAUAUUUUUUAUCAAACUUGAAUUUUUGCUUUCUAAGAUUAUAUUAAUCUCGCUUGGUGGUCGCGUGAUCACGAGAUUCACAUUAAAAUUUGACUAGGUCAACACUUACCUCAUUCGAUGUGAAACUCGACCCAAAUCAGGUCCUAGGUCAAUGAAUUACCAGGUUUAUCUCUUGGGUUAAGCUGAGUUUAAUAAUACUACUAGUUACAAUGAUUGUUUUUUUUAUUAAUUUAAUUUGAAAUAAGAACUUAAAAUAUUUAUGUUUUUGUUUUGAAAAUUUUUAAAAUUAAAAAAGAAAAAAGAAAAAAACUACAAAUUAUAUAAAAUGACCCCUGGGAAAGACAAAUGGGUGUGGUCUUGUGAAAAAAACCUACUCCCAAAGUCUAGGGUUGGACUAGUCCACCAUCCUCGUGGAGCAAAGCGACCGACAGUUAAUUGAUUCUCUUUAUAUAUGUUGCCAUAAAUUCCUUAUUCCACAUAUUAUUAGAUUUUCUUGCCACAUAUUUAAUGUUGUAUAAAGAAUAAUUGGUAAUAUUUUAUUAAUUAUUUCUUUGUAUUUAUUUUGAAGAAAAAAAGACAAGAAAAAAUAAAUAAACAAAGAUGUUUUCAUAGCUUUUGGUGGAUUAUGUAUUUAUUUUUCUUCGUUAUUAUGGUAGAGGAUACAUUUAUAUAUUUAAUGCAAUAAAUCCAUGCAUCUGAUUUUUUAAAUUGAAUGAAUUCUUAAAAUAGUGAAAAAAAAUAAAUUAAAGGAAAUUAGCAUUAAAAUCAAAUAAGAUAACGAAGAUUAGCUUUUGGUUCAAGUCAUCUUCGUGUAUAUUAAUCUCAUUUGGGGAUUGCUUGGUUAAAUUUUCAUUGGGAAAAAAAUAUGUUGACGAAGCCUGGUGUGAUGUAAUUCCCAUGACUGUGUGCCAUAUGCUACUGGGACGUCCGUGGCUCUAUGAUCGAAGAGUUCUCUAUGACGGGUAUGUUAAUACUUAUUCUUUUAAUUUCCAAGGUAAGAAAUUUGUUUUGGAUCCCCUGCAGAUGUCAGAGUUUGAUACAAAAAAUGAGGUUGUUCCAAUUUUAACAAUGCGACAAUUUUCUCGAAUUGCACAAGCGGAAGACAUGGUAUUAUUAGUAGUGAGUCGUGAGGUGAAGCAGGAGGACAAUAUUAUUCCAACAGAUCUUCCAACAGAGUUCUUGACAAUGCUGGAAGAAUUUUAGGAUAUCAUGCAUGAUGAGGUUCCAAAUCGACUACCUCCAAUGAGGGAGGUACAACACGCCAUUGAUCUAAUUCCGGGAUCAACCCUGCCUAAUUUACCGCACUACCGCAUGAGCCCAACAGAGAAUGAAGAGCUCAGUCACCAAAUUCAACAAUUACUGGACAAGGGUUUCAUUCAAGAGAGUCUCAGCCCCUGUGAUGUCCCGGUUUUACUUACACCAAAAAAAGACGGUAGCUGGAGGAUGUGCGUUGAUAGUCGAGCAAUUAAUAAGAUAACUAUGAAGUACCGGUUUCCCAUUUCUCGUCUUGAUGAUAUGUUGGAUUUACUAUGUGGCUCCUCUAUUUUCACUAAGAUCGACCUCCGAAGCGGUUAUCAUCAAAUUCAUAUCCAGGUGGGUGACGAAUGGAAGUCAGCAUUCAAGACGAAAGAUGGGCCAUAUGAGUGGCUAGUCAUGCCAUUCAGACUAACCAACGCACCAAGCACCUUCAUGCGCGUAAUGACGCAAAUUCUCAAACCAUUUUUGGGAAAUUUUGUUGUUAUUUUGAUGACAUCUUAAUUUUUAGCCAAAGCGUGAAGGAGCAUUUAAGCCAUGUUGAACAAGUUCUGAAGGUCCUAAGAGCUGAACAACUAUAUAUUAACAAAGACAAGUGUUCGUUUAUGAAGCAAAGUGCCAAGUUUCUGGCUUUUAUAAUCUCUAAUCAAGGUGUUGAAGCCGACCCUGCAAAGGUGCAAGCUGUACAGCAAUGACCAACUCCCUAGAAUCUAUCCGAAGUUCAGAGCUUUCACGGCUUGGCCACUUUUUAUCAGCAGUUUAUUCGCAAUUUCAGCACAAUCAUGGCCCCAAUCAUCGAGUGUCUGAAAGAAAAGAAAUUUGCAUGGAGUACGGCAGCUGCCAAAGCAUUAACAUAAAUUAAAACAAAGAUGGGACACGCACCAGUGCUCAAGUUACCAGAUUUCUCCAAAAAUUUUGAAGUAGCUUGUGACGCAUCACAUGUGGAAAUCGGAGGAGUGGUAAGUCAAGAAGGUCAUCCCAUUGCUUUUUAUAGUGAGAAGCUUAAUGACACUCGCCAGCAAUACUUAGUAUAUGACAUGGAAUUCUAUGCUUUAAUUCAAACACUCAAGCAUUGUCGCCCUUAUUUGAUCCACAGAGAGUUUAUCCUCUUUACAGACCAUGACUCCCUGAAACACUUAAACUCCCAAAACGAAAUUAAUGCAUGACAUGCUCGUUGGAUGGAUUAUUUAUAGCAGUUUGAAUUUGUUAUUAGACACAAAGAAGGGACGGAAAAUAAGGUGGCUGACGCCUUAAGCAGGAGACCAAACCUGUUGCACAUGUUUUCAGCCAAUGUUGCAGGGUUCAAUAGUAUGAAAACAGAAUAUUCCAAUGAUGAGGACUUUGGUAGUGUAUGGAAUAAUAUCUCUAAUCAGGGGCUCUCAGCUGAGAAGGAGUAUGUGUCGCGAGAUGGAUUCAUAUUCUACAAAUCACGGCUUUGCAUUCCGCGUGGCUCAUUUCUAGAAUUUUUUACAACAGAGCUCUAUGGUGGGGGCUUCGCUGGCCACUUCGAUCAUGGUAAAACUUUUGCUAUUGUCAUUGACCGCUUCUACUGGCCUCAAAUGAGGAGGGACGUGCAUAUUGUGGUUGAUCGAUGUCGAGUUUGCCAAUUAAAUAAAGGCAUUAAGCAACCCGCAGGGCUCUAUACGCCACUUCCCAUCCCUGACAGACCGUGGUAGCAUCUUAGCAUGGAUUUUGUCCUUGGAUUGAUUCAAUCAUGGUGGUGGUUGACCAUUUUCCAAAAUGGCCCAUUUUCUCACAUGCCACAAACUUACGAUGCAUCAAGAGUUGCUACAUUAUUCCUGCAGGAGGUCGUUCAUCUACAUGGUAUCCUAGUUCCGAUCGUGUCUGACCGGGAUGUCAAGUUUGUAAGUUAUUUUUGGAAAACAUUGUGGGCAAAACUAGGAACAAAAUUGAUGUUCUCUAGUGCCUUCCAUCCCCAAACAGAUGGCCAUACUGAGGUCACCAACAGAAGCUUGGGAAAUUUAUUACGCUACCUAGUCAUGAAUCAUAUGACCAGCCGGGAUAUGGUGCUUCCGCAUGCUGAGUUUGCCUUUAACAACUCUGUUAACCGUUCGACAGGUUGCACCCCAUUUGAAGUGGUUUAUGGCUUUCGACCCAACACUCCACUUGAUGUUAUUUCAUUACCAUCACCACCCAGGCCAAGCGAGGUUGCGCUGGAUUUCUCCAGCUAUAUGCGAGACGUUCACGAGGAAUGCAAACGACGCCUGACCACCCAUACAAAUUCUUAUGCAGUUGUAGCAAAUGCAAAACGCAAGGAUCAACAAUUUAAUACAAGUGAUAUGGUUCUAGUUCAUUUGCGUCCAGAGUGUUUUCCUCCAAGGAGUUUUACUAAACUUCAUGCAUGUAGAGCAUGCCCCUUCCAAGUCACCAAGAAAUUGGGUUUUAAUGCCUACAUCAUUGAUUUACCCUCUGAUUUUGGUAUUAGCCCCAUUUUUAACAUUGAAGAUCUUACAGAGUUCAAGGGCGAUGUUGAAAACAUCACUGCACUACCAGCUCCAACCAUAACACCAGUACCACGAGUUUUAGAGAUUACAGCACCACUAGAUGAGAUUGUUGUCAUUCUUGACCAUCAAUUUGUUACCACUCAGCGAGGAGCUUAUUAUAAGUUCUUAGUGCAAUGGAAAAAUCAUCCAAGGUCAGACUCUGUCUGGUUGCAAGCUUCAGAGAUCAAGCAUUUACACCCACACUUGUUUACGACAUACACCAAUCAAAACUUGUCAGAGUUAAGUUCUUCAGGGGGACUAGCAGUUGAUGCAAAUCAGGAAAUAAGACUUCCUACGAGUUCGUGAUCGAAGCCUCCAUCAACAUAGGAGCCGUUGCAAUUUUGUUUCUUUCUUGUUAUUACUUUUCUAGUUUAUUAGUUUUCUAGUUGGAUUUGGAAUUCUAUUCAUUUAUUGCUUUUCUAGUUUAUUAUUGUUUCCUAGUUGGAACUGGAGAUUGUAUUAGUAUUUAAAGGAGGAUGAAAGUAAUAGAAAGGGAAUUUAAUUUUGGCCAUCCUACAAACUCUGAGUUGAGUUUUCACUGGAGUGAUUCCAAUACACAGAGAGAUUCUUUGCUAGUCUCUUGGUAGUCAGCGUGAAGCUGCUCUAAACAAAUCGUUGGCACCACAUAUUCCAGGCCUUUCUCAGAUAAGCAAAGCAAUAGACGGGCUGUGCAUGUGGACAUAGGGAUACCAUGAACCUUGAUUGCCAUGGGUAAAAUUAGCCUAAUAAACCAGAAGAUCUUGCAGGGUCUUGAAAGCUUUUUGGUUAGGCUUCAUAUGUUUUCUCUGUUUGGAUUUUCAAAUAUUCUUCGGCUCAUUUGUUUUCUUGCUUCUGCAAAAUGUAUCAUUGGAACAAUGACUUGCAAUUAAUUGAAACUGGUGCGUUUGGAGAGAUGUAUAAACCUUUACGUCCACGUCACGUCUGACAAGCGCACAUAGUACUUAGAUGUUAUUUGUUUUCAUAUUUUAAAAUGCUUUUAAAAAGAAAUAAUUUUUAUUUUAUUUUAAAAAAAUAUAUUAUUUUUUAUAUUUUAUUGAUAUCGAAAAUAAAUUUAAAAAAAUAUUAUUUUAAUAUAUUUUUAAAUAAAAAAUAUUUUAAAAACUAACCAAGCAGUACUAUAAUACUAAACAAACUUUUACAUAUAUUGAUGUAUAUCACUUUUAACUCAAAUUGUAGAUCCAUCUUAUAUACAGGUAGUGUUUAGGAAUGCUGGCCGCAUGUUUCUAAAACCUUUGAAUAUAUUUUUUGUUUAAAAUUAUAUUUUAUUAUUAUUUUCUUUGAUAAUUUUGAUGUAUAAAUAUUAAAAAUAAAUUUUAAAAAAUAAAAUAUAUAUAUUAACAUAUUUACUCACAGGUGCAAUCUCUUCCAUAUGGAUUCUUUUGGUUCAUUUUGAAUUAGAAUAUUGAUUGCUCCUGUAUCCAGCUGCUUGCUUGUUGCUUCUGCUGCAAAAGAUAUCUUUGGAAAAAUGACCACUUGCAGCCAAUUGUUCGGACAGUUUUUUGGUUCAUUUUGAACAGAUCAUCAAUCCUUCUUGUAAACAUGUUUUGACACAGUUAUUUUAUUUUAUUUUCUUGGUUCUGGAGAGAGCAUGGCAUGACUCGUUCUGUGCUUGCUCAUGUAGUUGAGAGUAUGUAUCAGUCUCUACUGUGGCAGGUGCUUCCAUCUCCGGCCGGCGAGACAUUUCUAUUCCGACUGAUUCAAGCCCUGGUAGAAAAGUUAUGGUAACGUUUCUUUUGGCGAUUCGGUCAUUUCUCUGACGGUAUCUCAUCUAUCCAAUAUUCAAAAUUUCACAUCAAUGUCGUCCGUCCAAGAAACAGUUUCCCGUGGAAAAGAGACAUGCAAGAACUUAAUUUCCAAGUACUUUUCAUCAUCUUCACAAGGAAUUUUUCAAAACAUGCCUGGAGAUUGAACAUGCUCCACAUGAAAUCCCAGAUUUCCAAGCCAGCCCGUCAAUAAAGAUUUAACAACUAUGCUUCUAUGUGCUUCAGUAUUGUUUUAACUCAAAAUGGAGACUUUUGGGAAUGGAAAAUAAAGAACAUGAAAUCACUCUGCAGGAACUGUAAUGUAAUACUUUGUAGAGUAUUACAUACAUUAUACAUAGAGUAGAGGAUGAUGCCAAACAUACAACUCAAAAGCCUAAAUCUUAAUGAUUGAAGUGAUAUAUAAUAUCAUAUAUACUAGUGUUCUUGGCCCAACAAACCACAACCUUCAAAAGAUGAAAAAGAUCAACGAUCUGACAAGUCAAAAGCUACCAUUACCACACCAACCAUUAUCAUCCCAUGAACACAAGUCCAAAAGAAAUAUAUAUAUAAAAAAAAAUCAAAAAUCAAAACCACCAUCACCAUCAAAUCCAGCAUCAGACACCAUAUCUCCGAUCAAGACAUCACCAAUAGCAUAGCUCCUACUAGCAAUCCAACCCCUAGGCCCAUUCCAGAUUUAUUCUUUUGUGGCUGCUACCCUUGCACUUGUGGCGGGUACCCAUACCCCCCUUGAGCAGGUUGAUAUCCAUAUCCAGGUGUUUGGUGGGCAGUGGCGGAGGGAGGGGGCCUUGUAUAAAUAAUUGAAAUUUUAACCUUUUUAAACAAUUUCUUUUAAUUUGGCCCCUCGUAAUUUUUUUUCUUGCUCCGCCCCUGGUGAGCCCAUUCCAGAUUUAUUCUUUUGUGGCUGCUGCCCUUGCACUUGUGGUGGGUACCCACAGCCAUAGUUAUUAAACCCGGCCCGGCCCGGCGGGUCGACCCGGUGGCUGGACCGGUUCGGGUUUAAUAAAAGACCGGCUGUGGCAACAGCCCGGCCAAACCCGAGCGACCCGGCGGGUCGACCCGGGACCCGGGUGACCCGGGCAAACCCGGACGAGACCCGGGUUUUUUUUUUAUUUUAAAUUUGGGAUAAAAAAAAAUUUGGUUUAAAUAUUUCAACUUAAAAUGAUAACAUAAUAUCUUUUUAAUGUGGGGUUUGAAGCCCUUUCAUAUAUAUACUCUAUGUUCACAUGAAAAAAAUUAUAUUUUUUCAAUGUGGGAUUUAAAACCCAUUAGUAUAUAUACUCUAUGUUCCCAAGGAAAAAAUCAUGUUUUUUCAAUGUGGGAUAAAAAAACCUUUUGGUUUAAAUACUUCAACUUAAAGGGAUAACAUAGUAUCUUUUCAAUGUGGGAUUUGAAGCCCUUUCAUAUAUAUACUCUAUGUUCCCAUGAAAAAAAUUAUAUUUUUUCAAUGUGGGAUUUGAAACCCAUUAGUAUAUAUACUCUAUGUUCCCAAGGAAAAACUCAUGUUUUUCCAAUGUGGGAUAAAAAACCUUUUGGUUUAAAUAUUUCAACUUAAAGGGAUAACAUAGUAUCUUUUCAAUGUGGGAUUUGAAGCCCUUUCAUAUAUAUACUCUAUGUUCCCAUGAAAAAAGUUAUGUUUUUUCAAUGUGGGAUUUGAAACCUAUUAGUAUAUAUACUCUAUGUUCCCAAGGAAAAAAUCAUGUUUUUCCAAUGUGGGAUAAAAAACCUUUUGGUUUAAAUACUUCAACUUAAAGGGAUAACAUAGUAUCUUUUCAAUGUGGGAUUUGAAGCCCUUUCAUAUAUAUACUCUAUGUUCCCAUGAAAAAAGUUAUGUUUUUUAAACCAAAAUGUUUUUUAUCCCACAUUGAAAAAACAUGAUUUUUUCUUUACGAACAUAGAGUAUAUAUACUAAUGGGUUUCAAAUCCCACAUCAAAAAAACAUAACUUUUUUCAUGGGAACAUAGAGUAUAUAUAUGAAAGGGUUUCAAAUCCCACAUUGAAAAGAUACUAUGUUAUCCCUUUAAGUUGAAGUAUUUAAACCAAAAGGUUUUUUUAUCCCACAUUGGAAAAACAUGAUUUUUUCCUUGGGAACAUAGAGUAAUAUAUACUAAUGGUUUCAAAUCCCACAUUGAAAAAAACAUAACUUUUUUCAUGGGAACAUAGAGUAUAUAUAUGAAAGGGCUUCAAAUCCCACAUUGAAAAGAUAUUAUGUUAUCCCUUUAAGUUGAAGUAUUUAAACCAAAAGGUUUUUUAUCCCACAUUGAAAAAACAUGAUUUUUUCCUUGGGAACAUAGAGUAUAUAUACUAAUGGGUUUCAAGUCCCACAUUGAAAAAAUAUAAUUCAACUUAAAAUACUUCAACUUAAAAGCUUAACAUAAUAUCUUUUUAACGUGGGAUAAAAAACUUUUUAAAAUAUUAUUUUAAACUUGAUUAUUUAUAAUAUAUAUAAUCUAUAUUUACAUGAAUUUUUUCAUAUGAAAUAUUAAUUUUUUUUUAAUUAUUACGGGUUAAUCCGAGUCAACCCGGGUUGACCCAUGAAACCCGAGACCCGGCCCCUUGGCCGGGUCAACCCCCGGGCCGGGUUUAAUAACUAUGCCCACAGCCCCCUUGAGCAGGUUGAUAUCCAUAUCCAGGUGGUGGCGGGCAAUGGCGGAGGGAGGGGUGGGCAGUGGCGGAGGGAGGGGGCCCUGUAUAAAAUAAUUGAAAUUUUAACCUUUUUAAACAAUCUCGUUUAAUUUGGCCCCCCGUAAUUUUUCUUUCUUGCUCCGCCCCUGGUGAGCCCAUUCCAGAUUUAUUCUUUUGUGGUUGGUGCCCCUUGCACUUGUGGUGGGUACCCAUACCCCCCUUGAGCAGGUUGAUAUCCAUAUCCAGGUGGUGGCGGGCAGUGGCGGAGGGAGGGGUGGGUAGUGGUGGAGGGAGGGGGCCCUGUAUAAAAUAAUUGAAAUUUUAACCUUUUUAAACAAUUUCUUUUAAUUUGGUCCCCCGUAAUUUUUCUUUCUUGCUCCGCCCCUGGUGGUGGGUAACCAUAACGCGGUUGAGGAGGCGUCGCGUAUCCGCCAUAUGGCGGUGGAGGUGGAUAUCCAUAUCCAGGUGGAGGCGGUGGAUAUUCAUGUCCAGGUGGAGGCGGUGGAUAUGAGCCAGGUCCAGCAUAAGGAACAGAACUAGGUCCAACAACAGGCACAGCAGCAUAUGCAGUGACAGGUUGACUACUAGAAUUAGUAGCCUUCGCUGCUGCUGCUGUUGAUACUUCAGGCUGUUGUUGGGAGGAACCACUGGUGGUGGCUUUAAAACACUAAGAGGGGAUAAAACACGAAGUUUUAUUACAAAAAACAGAAGCUUAACAAUAACAAUAAAGCUUUACAAUACACACCCUCUCUCUCUCUCUAUCUAUUGUUUUUCUCUUCUCUCCACACUUAUAAUAACCUUAGCUUAGAUGCUUAUUUAUACACAAAUUCAGUCGGCUCAAAAUUCAACCGUCAUGGUGUGAAAAAUGGUUGGCGGCCAAUGGUGUGAAUGCGGCUAGGCGGUGGCAGCUGGUGGCUGGCGGCUGGUCGGUGACAGCUGGUGGCCGGUGAGGCGGUGGUUGCCUUCCUUGACCUUCUGGAUGUUGAGUUUACUAUUCAACAAAUCUCCCCCUUAAACUCAAUCGAGGGAUGUCAUGCCUAGCAUGUACUUUAAUCUGAUAAAUACUUCUCUUUUCAAUGGCUUUGUGAAGAUGUCUGCAACUUGAUCAUUUGUGUUGCAAGAUAUCAGUUGAACUUCUUCAUUCUUCACAUGUUCCCGGAUAAAGUGAUGACGUGUAUCAAUAUGUUUGCUCCUCUCAUGAUACACUGGAUUCUUUGCCAAUGCGAUUGCUGAUCGAUUGUCAAUAUAAAUCUCCGUAGGAUUUUCUUGAGGAAAUCCCAAAAACUUCAGCAUAUUCCUUAACCAUAUUGAGUGGCAUACGGCUGAGUUGGCAGCUACAUAUUCAGCUUCACAGCUUGAUAACGUGACAAUCGAUUGCUUCUUGGAUGACCAUGUGAAAGAUGUGUCUCCCAUGAAAAAGACAAACCCUGUUGUGCUUUUCCUUUCAUCCAAAUCUCUACCCCAAUCACUAUCCGAGUAGCCUACAAGAUUAAAGUCUUUACUUGAGGUAUAAAACAUACCUUCAUUCAUUGUGCCUUUGAUGUAGCGAAGAAUUCUCUUGGCUGCAUUCAAAUGAGACUGGUCUGGUGUCUCCAUGUAUCUGCUGACGAGUCCGACUCCGUAGAGUAUAUCUGGUCUGGUACAUGUCAAGUACCUUAAGCUUCCUACUAAGCUUUUGAAGUAAGUUGGAUCAACAUUUCCAACCUUACUCUUCCUCAAUUCCACUCCAUUCUCAACUGGAGUUGAUACCGGAUUGCAGCUUUCCAUCUUGAACCUUUCAAGAAUAUCUUUGGCGUAACCGCUUUGGGAUACAAAAAUCCCUUCUUCCUUCUGCGUUACUUCUAAGCCAAGAAAAUGUGACAUUAGACCAAUGUCAGUCAUUUCAAACUCCUGUACCAUGCUUUGUUUGAAGUCGUCAAACAUGGUAGGGUUGUUGCCGGUGAAUAUCAAAUCAUCAACAUACAGGCACGCAAAUAAGAUGCUGCCAUCUGCUCCUUUCUUCACAUAUAUAGCGUGUUCAUAUGGACAUUUCUCAAAUCCAUUAUCUUGAAAAUACCUGUCAAUUCUGGUAUUCCAAGCACGCGGAGCUUGCUUCAAACCAUAGAGAGCCUUCUUCAACUUGUAUACUUUGCCUUCAUUUUCAGCAUCAAUGUAUCCAAGUGGUUGUUCAACAUAGAUUUCUUCUUCUAGGAAGCCAUUCAGAAAUGCUGACUUCACAUCGAGUUGAUAGAUCUUCCAUCUAUGUUGUGCAGCUAGUGAGAUCAUCAGUCUGAUUGUCUCUAGCCGGGCUACUGGAGCAAAUAUUUCUCCAUAGUCAAUGCCUUCUCUCUGUUUGUAGCCUUUAGCCACUAAUCUGGCUUUGUAUCUUUGCACUUCUCCUUUGGCAUUCUUCUUCGUCUUGUAGACCCAUUUGACACCUAUUGCUUUCUUGUUUUCUGGUAGAUAAGUCAGCUUCCAGGUAUCAUUCUUCUCAAUGGCAUGUAUUUCUUCAUCCAUUGCUGUUAUCCAUUUCUCUUCUGUGACAGCUUCAUUGAAGCUUAAUGGGUCACUAUCUGCAAAGAAACAAAAUAAAUUUGUAUCUUCCAUAACUUGAGUGGCAUCAUACAGCUCUUCAAGAUUCCGCAUCCUUCUUGGUUCUUCUGAUGAGGAUGUUGAUGGUGGUGUUGAUGAUGAUGCUCCUGGUGUAUUCCUCCUGUUGAAUACAGGGAAUCUGUGCACCGGACUUUGUGGUUCAGCUGCUGGCACAAUCGGUUCUUCUAUAAGUACUGUUGGUACUUCUUCACCUUCAAGGAUCAAAUCAGUGUUGAUCCAUCUGACUGCUUCUUGAUCAUCAUUCCAUGCCCAAGAUUUAUCUUCUUCAAAGAUAACAUCUCUACUCGUAAUCACCUUCUUCGUGAUGGGAUUAUACAGCCUGUAUCCCAUCCUUCUUUCACCAUAUCCGACAAAGAUGCAUUUCUCGCUCUUAUCAUCGAGCUUUCUCCUUCUUGCAUCUGGGAUCUUUGCAUAUGCCACACAACCAAAAACUCGUAGAUGAGUUUACACUUGGUUUGUGACCACUCCAUGCUUCUUCUGGAGUGAUUCCUUGCAAACUUCUGGUUGGGCAGCGAUUCAACAGAUACACUGCACAUGAUACAGCUUCAGCCCAGUAUUGCUUGGGCAGCUUCUUUGCUUUGAGCAAACUUCUGGCCAUGUCAAGAAUCGUUCGAUUCUUCCUUUCUGCUACACCAUUCAGCUGUGGUGUAUAAGCUGGCGUCGUUUGAUGUUUGAUGCCUUGUUGUGUACAAAAGGCUUCAAAGUCGUUGGCUGUAUAUUCUCCACCUUGAUCAGAUCUUACGGUUCUGAUCGUGUAACCAGUUUGCUUCUCCACAAUUGCUUUAAAAUCUUUAAAACAAUUGAAUACUUCUGACUUCCUCUUCAGAAAGUAUAUCCAUGUCUUUCUACUAAAAUCAUCAGUAAAAGUGAGGAAGUACCUAUUUUGUCCAGUCGACAUAGGCGUAAUUGGGCCACACACAUCUGUGUGUACUAACUCCAGUGGCCUCUUUGCUCUCCAGUUGACUUCUUUGGCAAAACUGGAUCUGUGAUGUUUGCUGAGGACACAACUCUCACAGACUUCAUCUGGAUGAUCAAUGUGAGGCAAACCUUUGACCAUCUUCUUGCUUGCUAGCAUCUUCAGACUUGUGAAAUUCAGAUGUCCAAGCCUUAGGUGCCAAAGCCAUUCUUCACUGUUGGUGAUGGCGCUCAAACACCUUGUUGCAUCAUACUGGAUGUUCAAAGGAAACAUCCUAUUCUUGGACAUUUUCACGUAGGCCAUUAAUCUCCCAUUGUUGUCUCUAAUUGCCAGAUGACAAUUCUUCGAGUAAAAGAUAUAUCCUCUCUCCAACAGUUGACCUAAGCUGAUCAGGUUCUGCUUUAUGGCUGGGACAUAAUAGACAUCGGCGAUGUAGCUGGAAUCGCCAUUCUUCAACUUAACUGGGAUGCUGCCUUUACCUUUGAAUGGAACCUUUGUGGUAUCUCCAAAAGUAACUAGACCUUGCUUGGUCUCAUCUAGAUCACAAAUAACUCUCGGUAGCCGCACAUGUGAUUGCUGGCUCCAGUAUCUAGAUACCAUAUAUCCUCAUGUUUCUCAUCAUGUCCUUGUUGGACAAGAAAUGCAGAUCUUCUCUAUCAUCCUUUCUGCAUAGUUGGCUUGCUCACGUAUCUCAACGGAGCUUUCCAUCGGCAUUCAGUGCUAUAGUGCCCAAAUUGAUUGCAGCUAUAACAUUUGAUAUUCCUCUUGUCACGGUUAUUGUAACCGCCUCCUCUUCCUCUAGGAGUGAAUGCUUGUUGUCCUCGGCCUCCUCUGGUGGUGCUUCUACCACCUCUUCCUCUGAAGCUUGUAUUCCAAGAUCCUCUUCCUCUUCCUUGGAAUCUAUGAAAUCCUCCUCUGGAUUGUUGACUUCCUGCUUGAGUGGUGUAGCCACUUGUUGAAGUCUCCCCUUGCUCAUAUCUGUCUUUGAAAGACAGCUUUGCUUGUAAGGCAUGCUCAAUGGCCUUAUCUUCAUUUCGCAUUACAAUCUUCUGCUCAUGAGCUUGCAAAGAACUCAUAAGCUCAUCCACUGUCAACUUGUCCACUUCCUUGGACUCUUCAAUUGCGACAACAACAUGAUCAAAUUUUGGAUCUAUGGAUCUCAAAAUUUUCUCAAUAAUUCGAGUAUCUAUGAUGGCUUCUCCAUUUCUCCUCAUCUGAUUGACUAUCACCAUAAUCCUUGUAUGAUAAUCAGAAAUAGAUUCUGAGGACUUCAUUCGUAAUAAUUCGAAUUCUCCUCUCAAAGAUUGAAGACGAAUCUUCUUGAUUCUGUCAGCACCUUUGUAUUUCUGUUGGAGAGCCUCCCAUAUAUCAUGUGACGUUUCAGCGGAAGCUAUUAUCUCGAAUGUAUCUUCAUCAAGACCUUGAUAGAUGAUGGUCUUUGCCUUGUUGUCCUUCUUUCUGUUGACUUUCAAAGCUUGCUUCUGUGCCUCUUGUAAAGCAUCUUCUCUUUCUUUGGAUUCUGGUUCAUCAUAACCAGUUUGUACAAUAUCCAAACACUCUUGUGACCCAAGGAAUGCCUUCAAUCUGAUGCACCAACUAUCAUAGUUGUCUUUGGUCAGCUUCGGGAUGAGUGUAUGUGUACCUUCUGUAGUCAUUUUGCUCUUUGAAUGACUAUAUCACCUUUCUGGGAGCCGAAUUUGGCCAAACGGACACUGUAGAUCGAUCCGGAAUGGUCCAAAUAGUAGGGAACCGGUCUUACUUUGUUGAAAUCGGGUCAAAAAAUGGGUGAACCGGUCAAAAAACCAAUUCUGUACGGCGGGCGGUUCGCUGGGUUGAACCGGGAAUAUUCUGUGGAAUAUUCGGGGAAUAUUCUGGGAAUAUUCUGGGAAUAUUCGGGGAAUAUUCUGGGGAAUAUUCUCUCUCGGCUGCGGCUGGAAUACGGCUCGGCUCGGCGCGGAGGACGGCUCGGCUGGACUCGGCUAUCGGCUCGGCUGGACUCGGCUAUCGGCUCGGCUGGCGCUCGGCUUAGGCGGCUUACACGGCUCGAAUAUGGCGCGCGUGGACGACACUCGUCGUCUUCCUCUGGAGCGCGUGGGUGCGCGUGGGUGACAGUCACCGGAUCUUCAGACGGCGCGUGUGGAUCACCCCGGACUCCGAUCAGGCUGAUUUUUGCGGCAGUGAACUCGUCUUGAUGAGCUCUACACUAUGGAAUGAUCAAAACUUGUUUUUGACAACUUUGAAAUUUCGGAUAUACCCCACAACUCUUCUGUUUUCCGACGAACGGGGCUCUGAUACCAAUUGUUGGUGGGAGGAACCACUGGUGGUGGCUUUAAAACACUAAGAGGGGAUAAAACACGAAGUUUUAUUACAAAAAACAGAAGCUUAACAAUAACAAUAAAGCUUUACAAUACACACCCUCUCUCUCUCUCUAUCUAUUGUUUUUCUCUUCUCUCCACACUUAUAAUAACCUUAGCUUAGAUGCUUAUUUAUACACAAAUUCAGUCGGCUCAAAAUUCAACCGUCAUGGUGUGAAAAAUGGUUGGCGGCCAAUGGUGUGAAUGCGGCUAGGCGGUGGCAGCUGGUGGCUGGCGGCUGGUCGGUGACUGCUGGUGGCCGGUGAGGCGGUGGUUGCCUUCCUUGACCUUCUGGAUGUUGAGUUUACUAUUCAACACAGGCACCACUACCUUCUCAAUCCCGCUAAACUUAAAAGAAAAGCUAACCUCGCCUUUAGGUUUCCCUGAAGGUUUCCUUACCUGAUAACUAACAAAUUUCAUGGAUUUACCAUCGCCAGCUGAAUCCAAAAGCUCCUUUACU
rnacentral:lncRNA from 1 species